CGGAGCUGGAGGGGGAGGAGGGGAGGAACCUGAUCCUCGGUAGCGAAGGGCUGGAGGCAAACACCGAGCUCCCCCUGAGCCGCCUGGGAGCAGGGAGGGUUCUGCUACCCUGAGGGGCCCUCCCCGCGGGGCAGAGGGGACCAGCCCAACAUGGCUUCCAACACAGAGACCAGAAGGACCCAAUAAGAGACCGAAGACACGACUGAUAAUACAGAAAGGAGGGUGAUGCUGUGUGCAAGGCAGAUACAAGAUGGUUUUUCCAUAAGAGGAAGUGAUCAUGGCAACCAUGACCUUCUCUGACCUUCUCUCUUCCAAGAGGCUGUUGGGAAGGUGGGAUGACCUAGGAUUGACCUUGGACUUGACAUCACAGAAGCCAUUUCAACCUUCACAGGUGGGAGGAAGUCACAGCAUCUACUUCUGAAUCUGUGCUUGCCUUGAGGAAAAACGGCAUGGCACAGGAAUGUGGACGCUUUCAACCAGAGGAUUCUGUACGACGGUGUCGGCACACAAGGAGCCAAGAAUAGGACAGCUUGGGAAGCUCAUCCUCGUCUACGGCCAAACGUUGGUUUCUCAUUUCUAGAAGAUGAAAGAUGUGAUGACUCAGGAAAAACUGGAAUCUUAGUAACUGUGGUGGGCAUUGAGCCUUGCCGUCCACAAGAGAAAGCUUGCUGCUCGAGAUGUGAGUCUUCAGAUGUUCCUGCCGCCAUAUCUGACAGCUGCUGCCAAGAUUCCCUGGUGGGAUGGACUCUUAUACCUCAACAACCAGAAGCCCAAGUAAACUCUUCUAUAAAUUGAAUGACUCAUGCUUAAAAAAAAAAACAAAAAACAAACUAUCUUUAUUUUGUGUGCAUUGGUGUUUUGCCUACAUAUAUGUCUGUGUGAGAGUGUCAGAUUCCUUGGAACUGUAGCUACAGAUAGUUGUGAGCCACCAUGUGGGUGCUGGGACUUGAACCCCAGUCCUCUAGAAGAGCAGCUGGUAGGUACUCUUAACCACUGGACCAUCCCUCUAGACCCUGAUCAUGGUGUUUUAACUACAGCAAAAGAAAAGUAAUUAGCACAAUCAGGUUAGCCAGAGGGCACACCUGUGACAGAUUUUUCCUAAGUGCAUUCAUCAGGGGGAGGCCCACCCUGGAUGGGGGCAGCACCCUUCCUUGGGUUUGGGUCUUAGAAAGAAUAAACACAGAGAGGGAGCUGAGCACAAGCCAGCAAGCACAAGCUAAGCAAGCACUGUCCAGUCUUCCUCUGCUUUGACUGAGGAUGUGACGUGUCUAGCUGCUUCAGGUUUCUGCCUCGAAUCCCCUGCAGUCAUAGACUAUAACCUGGAAUUGUGAGCCAAAAGAAAAACAAAAGAAAACAAAAUCCAUUUUCUCCCCAUAUGUUGCUUUUUGGUCAAAGCAUUUGAUCCCAGUAACAGAAAAGAAAUGAGGACAGGCAAGAAGAGGCCAUACCACAGAGCCAGGAGCAGGUUGUAGUGCCAAGUUGCAGAGGCCGGGGAGGAGCAUAGGUGCAGAGCAGCCGCUGUCAGAAUGUUCAGGGAAAAGGAGAAGAGAGGAUGUGUCAGGGAAGUGAGCUGGCUCAGUCCAUAACAGCAUGGUCUUGCUGUCUUUUACAGGGUCUGAAGUCUACCUUAGUGCAGUGGGAGCCACUAACUGUCCUAGUAUGAAGGAAGGAUAUUGAUGUUUUUUGGGCAUGUAAGUGUGUGUGUGUGUGUGUGUGUGUGUGUGUCCCCAUACUCUAGGGACUGAGCCUCCUCACCCAUGUACCACACAGCUUCAGUCCCAGUCCCAUAUUUUGUUUUCAAUCAAACUUUAUACAAAUGUUUCUCAAGAAAAUUAUAAGUUACUUCUUUUAUUUCUCAUUAAUAAUAUUUUG
rnacentral:lncRNA from 1 species